rnacentral:rRNA from 1 species
CCUACGGGUGGCAGCAGUGAGGAAUAUUGGUCAAUGGCCGUAAGGCUGAACCAGCCAAGCCGCGUGAAGGAAGAAGGAUCUAUGGAUUGUAAACUUCUUUUAUAGGGGAAUAAAGGUAUCCACGUGUGGCUAUUUGCAUGUACCCUAAGAAUAAGCAUCGGCUAACUCCGUGCCAGCAGCCGCGGUAAUACGGAGGAUGCGAGCGUUAUCCGGAUUUAUUGGGUUUAAAGGGUGCGUAGGCUGUUUUUUAAGUCAGCGGUGAAAGUUUGUGGCUCAACCAUAAAAUUGCCGUUGAAACUGGAAGUCUUGAGUGUGUGUGAGGUAGGCGGAAUGCGUGGUGUAGCGGUGAAAUGCUUAGAUAUCACGCAGAACUCCGAUUGCGAAGGCAGCUUACUAGGCCAUAACUGACGCUGAGGCACGAAAGCGUGGGGAUCGAACAGGAUUAGAUACCCCAGUAGUC